rnacentral:Y_RNA from 1 species
GGCUGGUCUGAGUGCAGUGGUAUUUACAACUAAUGGAUCACAACCAGUUAUAGAUUCCUUUGUUCCUUCUCCACUCCCACUGCUUCACUUGACUAGCUUUAA